rnacentral:rRNA from 1 species
UGCGAGUCAUUGUAGCAAUACAAGGCAGACGGCUCAGUAACGUGUAGCCAACCUAACCUAUGGACGGGAAUAACCUCGGGAAACUGAGUAUAAUGCCCGAUAGAACAUUAUGCCUGGAAUGGUUUAUGUUCCAAAUGAUUUAUCGCCGUAGGAUGGGACUGCGGCCUAUCAGUUUGUUGGUGAGGUAAUGGCCCACCAAGACUAUUACAGGUACGGGCUCUGAGAGGAGUAGCCCGGAGAUGGGUACUGAGACACGGACCCAGGCCCUAUGGGGCGCAGCAGGCGAGAAAACUUUGCAAUGUGCGAAAGCACGACAAGGUUAAUCCGAGUGGUUUCUGCUAAAGGAACCUUUUGUCGGUCCUAGAAACACCGAUGAAUAAGGGGUGGGCAAGUUCUGGUGUCAGCCGCCGCGGUAAAACCAGCACCUCAAGUGGUCAGGAUGAUUAUUGGGCCUAAAGCAUCCGUAGCCGGCGCUGUAAGUUUUCGGUUAAAUCUGUACGCUCAACGUACAGGCUGCCGGGAAUACUGCAGCGCUAGGGAGUGGGAGAGGUAGACGGUACUCGGUAGGAAGGGGUAAAAUCCUUUGAUCUAUUGAUGACCACCUGUGGCGAAGGCGGUCUACCGGAACACGUCCGACGGUGAGGGAUGAAAGCUGGGGGAGCAAACCGGAUUAGAUACCCGGGUAGUCCCAGCUGUAAACUAUGCAAACUCAGUGAUGCAUUGGCUUGUGGCCAAUGCAGUGCUGCAGGGAAGCCGUUAAGUUUGCCGCCUGGGAAGUACGUACGCAAGUAUGAAACUUAAAAGGAAUUGGCGGGGG